GGAAAAUGGGGGCGGCUACACAUGCAAGUCGAGCGGAAACGAGUUAACUGAACCUUCGGGGAACGUUAACGGCGUCGAGCGGCGGACGGGUGAGUAAUGCCUGGGAAAUUGCCCUGAUGUGGGGGAUAACCAUUGGAAACGAUGGCUAAUACCGCAUAAUAGCCCGGUUCUUCGGAAUGGGUCUCAAAGAGGGGGACCUUUUAGGCCUCUCGCGUCAGGAUAUGCCCAGGUGGGAUUAGCUAGUUGGUGAGGUAAUGGCUCACCAAGGCGACGAUCCCUAGCUGGUCUGAGAGGAUGAUCAGCCACACUGGAACUGAGACACGGUCCAGACUCCUACGGGAGGCAGCAGUGGGGAAUAUUGCACAAUGGGCGCAAGCCUGAUGCAGCCAUGCCGCGUGUAUGAAGAAGGCCUUCGGGUUGUAAAGUACUUUCAGCAGUGAGGAAGGUGGGUAUGUUAAUAGCAUACACAUUUGACGUUAGCUGCAGAAGAAGCACCGGCUAACUCCGUGCCAGCAGCCGCGGUAAUACGGAGGGUGCGAGCGUUAAUCGGAAUUACUGGGCGUAAAGCGCAUGCAGGUGGUUUGUUAAGUCAGAUGUGAAAGCCCGGGGCUCAACCUCGGAAUUGCAUUUGAAACUGGCAAACUAGAGUACUGUAGAGGGGGGUAGAAUUUCAGGUGUAGCGGUGAAAUGCGUAGAGAUCUGAAGGAAUACCGGUGGCGAAGGCGGCCCCCUGGACAGAUACUGACACUCAGAUGCGAAAGCGUGGGGAGCAAACAGGAUUAGAUACCCUGGUAGUCCACGCCGUAAACGAUGUCUACUUGGAGGUUGUGGCCUUGAGCCGUGGCUUUCGGAGCUAACGCGUUAAGUAGACCGCCUGGGGGAGUACGGUCGCCAAGAUUUAAAACUCAAAUGAAAUUGACGGGGGGCCCGGCACAAGCCGGUUGGACCAUGUGGGUUUAAUUCCAAUGCAACCCCGAAAGAACCUUACCUUACUCUUUGACAUUCUACACGAAACCCAAGCGGAAAACGCCAGGUGUU
rnacentral:rRNA from 1 species